rnacentral:rRNA from 1 species
GGGGGAACUGAAACAUCUAAGUACCCCGAGGAAAAGAAAUCAACCGAGAUUCCCCCAGUAGCGGCGAGCGAACGGGGAGCAGCCCAGAGCCUGAAUCAGUGUGUGUGUUAGUGGAAGCGUCUGGAAAGGCGCGCGAUACAGGGUGACAGCCCCGUACACAAAAAUGCACAUGCUGUGAGCUCGAUGAGUAGGGCGGGACACGUGGUAUCCUGUCUGAAUAUGGGGGGACCAUCCUCCAAGGCUAAAUACUCCUGACUGACCGAUAGUGAACCAGUACCGUGAGGGAAAGGCGAAAAGAACCCCGGCGAGGGGAGUGAAAAAGAACCUGAAACCGUGUACGUACAAGCAGUGGGAGCACGCUUAGGCGUGUGACUGCGUACCUUUUGUAUAAUGGGUCAGCGACUUAUAUUCUGUAGCAAGGUUAACCGAAUAGGGGAGCCGAAGGGAAACCGAGUCUUAACUGGGCGUUAAGUUGCAGGGUAUAGACCCGAAACCCGGUGAUCUAGCCAUGGGCAGGUUGAAGGUUGGGUAACACUAACUGGAGGACCGAACCGACUAAUGUUGAAAAAUUAGCGGAUGACUUGUGGCUGGGGGUGAAAGGCCAAUCAAACCGGGAGAUAGCUGGUUCUCCCCGAAAGCUAUUUAGGUAGCGCCUCGUGAAUUCAUCUCCGGGGGUAG